CAGAAUGUAGCUUAUUUAAAGUUAUUUAUUUACAUUAAAUUGAAAAUAUUAUUUAUUCUUUCUGA
rnacentral:tRNA from 1 species